AGGAGACAAAGUUUUGCUGUGUUGCCCAUGAUGGUCUCAAAUUCCUGAGCUCGAGAGAUCCUCCCACCUCAACAUCCCAAGGUGCUGAGAUUUCAGGCAUGAGCCACUGGGUCCCACUCUGCUAUCCUAUUUUAAGGCCUUGCAGAAACCAGGAUAUGUUAUGGGAAUGAAAGCUCCUUGAGGGAAGGGCCCUCAGUGCUGCUCUGACCCCAGCACCUACAACAGUGCCUGGCUCAUAGUAGGUGCUCAGUAAAUAUCUGUUGAAUGGAUUAAUUCAUUAUCCAUUAAUAGAUACCCAUUAAUUCAUUAUCCAUUACCUGUAAAGUUGCCCUUCCAAUCCUGUCCUCUCUGAUUCUAGGUGUCUGUGAAUAAGGAAUGGCUGGGAAAGCAUGUGAGAAAACCACACUCUCCCUCAGCCUAUUAUAGUUUAAAAAGUACUUUCUUGUCCAUAAAAACAAAACAAAAAAAAUAAUAACUAACUUCGUUUUAACUCUCUGUGUUAGUGUUGGGCCCCAUGCUACAUGCUGGGUACACGUUUUCUCACGUGCUCACCACCACAACCCUCUACUUAAUAGGUACUUGUUUAAUACAUGAGGACACAGAGGCCAGGAGAACCCAAGAAUCUCUGCAAGGCUACACAGCAAGAAAAGGCCAGAUCAGUGGUCGAGAGGCAGGCAGGAAUUGCCAUCCUAGUUGUACAAUUAGAGAAACCGAGACUCAGAGAAAGAAGAUGAGUUGUCCAAGCCCAAAGUCAUGUAAUAAACAGCAAGCAGUUACAUCACUCUUACUAUAUACCAGGUGCUGUCCUAAGUGUUUUUCAUACAUUAAUCAUUAAAUCCUGAAAACUGAUCAUAUUAUCACCACCCCAGUUUUCAGAUGGAGAAACUUGUAGCACAGAGUUCAGUACCCCACCAAGAUUGCACAGUUAGCAAGUAGCAGAACCAGAAUUCAAACCAGGGAGGUCUAGCUCACCCCGUUAAGGGGUGGUCUGUGUUACACCAUUUGUUUGUACAGCAAGCCUGGAACAGGCUGGUAUAAGAAGGUAGGUGUCUUUGUCUCCAGCCCUGCUGCCUGCGCUAGGGGCAAGACAGAGAACAAAAGCAGAUUGACAGUAUCCUCAGCUGCCAGCUGGGACUUUCCACCUUGAAGGGAGGAUACUGUUAUGGAAAAAAUGAUAAAGCUCUGGGAAGAUGGAUGUCUCCCCAGGGGCCGCCAAGCCUCCUCAGAGUCCCUCCCCUUGCUGUGGGGAGGGCCACAAACUGUGCUGGCCUGGUCCAGAUGAGACAAAGGCCACCUGGAUCCCAAGACACCCAGCCAGGCUGCUCAAAUACUGAGGAUCAUUGGCCUUGGUGGAAAGUUCCAAUUUCUCAUCCCAGGAAUGAAGCUUCUGCUCAGGGACCCCCGAGGAAUCAGGUUAGGGCUGGAGCUCCCUGUCCUUGAAGAUGGGAAAUAUACAUCUCAUAGGGCCCGCUCCCUCCUUUCUUCAUUCAGCAAACAUGGACAAGGAUGUGGGCUCUGAAGGAAGGUAGAGAAUGUAGAGAGGAUCACAGCUGGUGGGUACAGGAACUUCCAAGUCCCUGCCCUGGCCACGAAGGGAAAGGGAGGGUAAAAGAGGGGUAGAAGUAGUGAAAAAAUCACCUACAACUGCUUUGUAACGGCUAAGAAUCCCUCAGGUCUGUCAUGACCAUAUGACCUUAGGCAAAUCAAAAUAUACAGAGUGAAGGGGUUAGCAUAGAAUUCUCUAUGUAAUUGUCUCUGUCUCCAGAAUAUUUAAAUAUUGUAGUUCAACAGCUUGAAAAAAUAUACAAGUUCAGUUUCAAUUUGA